UUCUUUUUUUUUUAAAUUUAUUUUAUUUAUUUAUUUUAUUGGCUGUGUUCGGUCUUCGUUGCUGCACACGGGCUUUCUCUAGUUGCGGCGAGGAGGGGCUCCUGUUGGUUGUGGUGUGAAGACUUAUCGCGGUGGCCUUUCUUGUUGCAGAGCACAGGCUCUAGGUUUCUGUUUAGCAGUGACUGGUUGAUUGCUACGUGGAAGUACACAACAGUGGAAUAAAAGGAUCUUGAGAAC